GUUUAAAAUUCCCAACCUGCAAUGCAUUUGUGCUCAACUGUCCUAACAUAACCACUUUAGCACUAAAAGGAUUCAAACUUCAUGACUACAAGGCCCGUAUGUUGGUGAAGAUAUCGUAUCUCUGGAUCAUCUCUUCUUGCAACCAUGGAUGAAAGUAGUUAAGUUUCUUCUGGUGAUUUAGAUAAGGAACAAGCUGAUAGAUCACAAGCAAAUAGAGAAAAUUUGAAGGAAAAUAUAAGUUCUUCUCAACCAAGAGAUGAUCGAAGUGGAAGAGGUCAGCCCACAGUUGAUAUAGCAGAAGUUUUAAGGCGAUGGACUCAGGCCUUACAGCGUAUACAUAAACAGUCACUUCACCUGGCAAAGGCGAAUGGUGGUGAAGGUCCGGAUCUUCUUCGAAGUGCAAGUGAUGGUAGUACAAGUGGCCAUGCUGAAUCUUUAGCUACAACACUUUCUGAACAUCGACAACAUUUAGCUAGCAUACAGG